rnacentral:rRNA from 1 species
AUUGCACAAUGGGCGCAAGCCUGAUGCAGCGACGCCGCGUGGGGGAUGACGGCCUUCGGGUUGUAAACCGCUUUCAGUGGGGACGAAAACAGACGGUACCCACAGAAGAAGCCCCGGCCACCUACGUGCCAGCAGCCGCGGUAACACGUAGGGGGCAAGCGUUGUCCGGAAUCAUUGGGCGUAAAGAGCUCGUAGGCGGCUCAGUAAGUCGGGUGUGAAACCUCCAGGCUCAACCUGGAGACGCCACCCGAUACUGCUGUGGCUAGAGUCCAGUAGGGGAGUGUGGAAUUCCCGGUGUAGCGGUGAAAUGCGCAGAUAUCGGGAGGAACACCAGCGGCGAAGGCGGCACUCUGGGCUGGUACUGACGCUGAGGAGCGAAAGCGUGGGUAGCAAAC